rnacentral:tRNA from 1 species
GCGGGAGUGGUUCAGGGGUAGAACGCCACCUUGCCAAGGUGGAUGUCGCGGGUUCGAAUCCCGUCUCCCGCUCCA